GGUGGGGUUCCCGAGCGGUCAAAGGGAUCAGACUGUAAAUCUGACGGCGGACGUCUUCGGAGGUUCGAAUCCUCCCCCCACCACCA
rnacentral:tRNA from 1 species